rnacentral:rRNA from 1 species
AGUGGCGGACGGGUGAGUAACGCGUGAGAAUCUGCCUUGGGGUCGGGGACAACCACUGGAAACGGUGGCUAAUACCGGAUAAGCCGAUUGGUGAAAGAUUUAUUGCCCGAAGAGGAGCUCGCGUCUGAUUAGCUAGUUGGUGAGGUAAGAGCUCACCAAGGCAGCGAUCAGUAGCUGGUCUGAGAGGACGAUCAGCCACACUGGGACUGAGACACGGCCCAGACUCCUACGGGAGGCAGCAGUGGGGAAUUUUCCGCAAUGGGCGAAAGCCUGACGGAGCAAGACCGCGUGAGGGAGGAAGGCUCUUGGGUUGUAAACCUCUUUUCUCAGGGAAGAAGCUCUGACGGUACCUGAGGAAUCAGCCUCGGCUAACUCCGUGCCAGCAGCCGCGGUAAUACGGAGGAGGCAAGCGUUAUCCGGAAUUAUUGGGCGUAAAGUGUCCGCAGGUGGCGAUUCAAGUCUGCUGUCAAAGCACGGGGCUUAACUCCGUAAAGGCAGUGGAAACUGAAUAGCUAGAGUGCCGUAGGGGUAGAGGGAAUUCCCGGUGUAGCGGUGAAAUGCGUAGAGAUCGGGAAGAACAUCGGUGGCGAAAGCGCUCUACUGGACGGCAACUGACACUCAGGGACGAAAGCUAGGGGAGCGAAUGGGAUUAGAUACCCC